rnacentral:rRNA from 1 species
GACGAACCGUGCAACCGUUGUUCGGAAUUACUGGGCGUAAAGAGUGUGUAGGCGGUGCUCUAAGUCUGUCGUGAAAUCUCCCGGCUUAACCGGGAGGCUGCGGCGGAAACUGGUGUGCUAGAGGGUGGGAGAGGUAAGCGGAAUUCCUGGUGUAGCGGUGAAAUGCGUAGAUAUCAGGAGGAACACCUGCGGUGUAGACAGCUUACUGGACCACUUCUGACGCUGAGACACGAAAGCGUGGGUAGCAAACAGG